CACUAGAUCCGACGGAGAUAUAAUUUGUACCAUUUAUAUUCCCGUAGAUGACACAAUCUUCUCAUCUCCGUCCUCUAAUAAAGAAAUUCCUCACAAUAAAUCAAGGAUCGAAUUCCUAUUGACAUCUCUGCCCCACCCUCGCCCCUGGAGAACACCAUGAGGGGGACGCUCUCGAGCAGCCGGGCCCGUGCUCGCCUUGAUGGCUGCUGCUGAGCCCUUCCCUCAAUCGUCGCUGCCGCUUUCGACUCCACCCCCAUGCCCGUGCGCAUGCCCAUGCCGACGCGGAUGAUGCAGAUCCUGCACACCACGCCAACAUCAUCAUCCCGCUGGAGUCGCCGCCCAGCAUGGCCAGGUCAAUUUCAAAGUCCUUUGGUGUUCUGAUCCCUGAUCAGGGAAUUGCUCUGAGAGGACUGUUCAUCAUUGACAAGGAGGGAGUAAUUCAGCACUCUACCAUUAACAACCUUGCCAUUGGUCGCAGUGUGGAUGAGACCAUGAGGACCCUUCAGGCGUUGCAGUACGUCCAGGAGAGCGGAUGAGGUCUGCCCGGCAGGAUGGAGGCCUGGAGAGAAGUCAAUGAAGCCCGACCCCAAGGGAAGCAAAGAGUACUUCGCGGCCAUGUAAGCGUGCUGCCGUGAAGCUUUGCUGCUCUGAUCGUGGCGCCUUUCGGUGCGCCAGCGGUGGAUCGUUGUGGAGUUUUGCUCCGAGCUCGUGUUUCGAGAUGUCGCUGCGCCUUGUGAACCGAGUGCAGUAGCCCUUGUGCAUACGAUUGAAUGAUGUUCUCUGCCACCUUGUUUUUUCCCCUGACAAAAAUAAGGUACAUUUUGGUGGUGUCCGAGUCCUCAAGCCUCCGCCUCCUCAGAUCCCCGCUACUCCUGCUGACUGCGGCUCCACGCAAGCCCAAACCGGAGCCACCGGAGGAAGAGGCAAUCAGGACAAGGACAGCAACGACGACCAAUAUCAACCGCAACAAGGGGAUCCCUGAAUACAAACAAGAUCCCCACCAACCUCAUAGAGCUCCUCGCCACUGGCCUGCUCGAAGGCCAGCCAGUCAAGUACAUCAUGAGGAAAGGAAAGUGUUCAGUGUACGCUCGAAGAAAGAUGCAAACUUGGUUAUAUGGCGGUGUAUUAUCUGGUGUUUAGAGUAUUGCCUUUAUUGUUUGUAGUGUUUUAACAAUGUUAUAGUUUGAAAGAUACUUCGAUGAUGAUGUUUGGUUUAGAGGAGUUAACAAUUUUAUAAUAUGUAAAUUUUUGAUUAUUAUUGUAACACACGGGUAUUCAACUAGUCUUAUAAUAAAAACCUAGCAAGA